CCUACGGGAGGCAGCAGUGGGGAAUCUUCCACAAUGGGCGAAAGCCUGAUGGAGCAACGCCGCGUGGGUGAAGAUGGUCUUCGGAUCGUAAAACUCUGUUGUUAGAGAAGAAUGAGCGUGAGAGUAACUGUUCACGUUUCGACGGUAUCUUACCAGAAAGCCACGGCUAACUACGUGCCAGCAGCCGCGGUAAUACGUAGGUGGCAAGCGUUAUCCGGUUUUAUUGGGCGGAAGGGGAGCGCAGGCGGUCUUUUAAGUCUGAUGUGAAAGCCUUCGGCUUAACCGGAGUAGUGCAUUGGAAACUGGGAGACUUGAGUGCAGAUGAGGAGAGUGGAACGUGAUGUGUAGCGGUGAAAUGCGUAGAUAUAUGGAAGAACACCAAUGGCGAAGGCGGCUCUCUGGUCUGUAACUGACGCUGAGGUUCGAAAGCGUGGGUAGCAAACAGGAUUAGAUACCCGAGUAGUC
rnacentral:rRNA from 1 species